UUGGAGGGCAAGUCUGGUGCCAGCAGCCGCGGUAAUUCCAGCUCCAAUAGCGUAUAUUAAAGUUGUUGCAGUUAAAAAGCUCGUAGUUGAAUUUCGGGAUCAAAUUGUCGGUCGUGCCUCGGUACGCACUGGUAUUAUUGGUUCCUACCUUCUGAAGAACCGCGAUGUCAUUAAUUUGGUGUCGUGGGGAAUCAGGACUGUUACUUUGAAAAAAUUAGAGUGUUUAAAGCGGGCUUACGCUUGAAUACAUUAGCAUGGAAUAAUGAAAUAGGACGUUUGAUUCUAUUUUGUUGGUUUCUAGGAUUGACGUAAUGAUUAAUAGGGAUAGUUGGGGGCAUUAGUAUUCAAUUGUCAGAGGUGAAAUUCUUGGAUUUAUUGAAGACUAACUACUGCGAAAGCAUUUGCCAAGGAUGUUUUCAUUAAUCAAGAACGAAAGUUAGGGGAUCGAAGACGAUCAGAUACCGUCGUAGUCUUAACCAUAAACUAUGCCGACUAGGGAUCGGAUGAUGUUAAUUUUUUAAUGACUCAUUCGGCGCCUUACGGGAAAC
rnacentral:rRNA from 1 species